rnacentral:miRNA from 5 species
AGAAAGGCAUCAUAUAGGAGCUG